rnacentral:rRNA from 1 species
UACGAAGGGGGCUAGCGUUGCUCGGAAUGACUGGGCGUAAAGGGCGCGUAGGCGGUUCGUACAGUCAGACGUGAAAUUCCUGGGCUCAACCUGGGGGCUGCGUUUGAUACGUGCUGUCUGGAGUUCGGAAGAGGGUCGUGGAAUUCCCAGUGUAGAGGUGAAAUUCGUAGAUAUUGGGAAGAACACCGGUGGCGAAGGCGGCGACCUGGUCCGAUACUGACGCUGAGGCGCGAAAGCGUGGGGAGCAAACAGG